UCAGUUGUGAAAGUUUGCGGCUCAACCGUAAAAUUGCAGUUGAUACUGGGUGUCUUGAGUACAGUAGAGGCAGGCGGAAUUCGUGGUGUAGCGGUGAAAUGCUUAGAUAUCACGAAGAACUCCGAUUGCGAAGGCAGCUUGCUGGACUGUAACUGACGCUGAUGCUCGAAAGUGUGGGUAUCAAACAGGAUUAGAUACCCUGGUAGUCCACACAGUAAACGAUGAAUACUCGCUGUUUGCGAUAUACAGUAAGCGGCCAAGCGAAAGCGUUAAGUAUUCCACCUGGGGAGUACGCCGGCAACGGUGAAACUCAAAGGAAUUGACGGGGGCCCGCACAAGCGGAGGAACAUGUGGCUUAAUUCGAUGAUACGCGAGGAACCUUACCCGGGCUUGAAUUGCAACUGAAUGAUGUGGAGACAUGUCAGCCGCAAGGCAGUUGUGAAGGUGCUGCAUGGUUGUCGUCAGCUCGUGCCGUGAGGUGUCGGCUUAAG
rnacentral:rRNA from 1 species